AGUACAGGGUUUAUAAUUACGACAUGAUUGUUGGAGCUUACUUUCAAAGGGGUAACCACUGGAAUCUCCUGUUCGCAGAAAACCAUAUUUUGGGGUUGCCAUGUAUCUUUGAAAAGAAGGACGUGCUCAACAAAAGAAAAGAGAUUGCAGCCACUCUUCUUUUAUAUGAAGUGAAUGUUAAAGAGUGCUGUCCUGCAUGUGGUUGGAAACCAGAAGGGGAGGAAAAGUUG